ACGGCGGUCGUAACUAUAACGGUCCUAAGGUAGCGAAAUUCCUUGUCGGGUAAGUUCCGACCCGCACGAAAGGCGUAACGAUCUGGGCACUGUCUCGGAGAGAGACUCAUUGAAAUAGACAUGUCUUUGAAUAUGUGGACUACCUGCACCUGGACAGAAAGACCCUAUGAAGAUUUACUAUUCCCUGGGAUUGUCUUUGGGUUCUUCUUGCGUAGCUUAGGUGGAAGGUGAAGAAGGCUCCCUCUCAGGGGUGGCUGAGCCACCAGUGAGAUACCAUUCUAGAAGAGCUAGAAUUCUAACCUUGUGUCAGGACCUACGGGCCAAGGGAUAGUCUCAGGUAGACAGUUUCAAUGGGGCGUAGGCCUCCCAAAAGGUAACGGAGGCGUGCAAAGGUUUCCUCGGGCCGGAUGGAAAUCAUCCCUCAAGUGCAAAGGCAGAAGGGAGCUUGACUGCAAGACCCACCCGUCGAGCAGGGAUAAAAUUCGGCCUUAGUGAUCCGACGCUUCCGAGUGGAAGGGUCAUUGCUCAAUGGAUAAAAGUUACUCUAGGGUUAACAGGUUGAUCUUCCCCAAGAGUUCACAUCGACAGGAAGGUUUGGCACCUUGAUGUCGGCUCUUCGCCACCUGGGGCGGUAGUACGUUCCAAGGGUUGGGCUCUUCACCCAUUAAAGCGGUACGUGAGCUGGGUUCAGAAUGUCGUGAGACAGUUCGUUCCAUAUCCGGUGUGGGCGUUAGAUCAUUGAGAGGACCUUUCCAUAGUACGAGAGGACCGAGAAGGAUGCACCUCUGGUGUACCAGUUAUCAUGCCCACGAUAGACGUUGGGUAGCCAAGUGCAGAGCGGAUAACUACUGAAAGCAUAUAAGUAGGAAGCCCACCCCAAGAUGAGUGCUCUCCUAUUCUUACUUCC
rnacentral:ncRNA from 1 species